CAGAUGCAAUGAUGAUAACAUAGUUCAGCAGAAUGUACAAUGACGAGUACUGCUUUGUCUUUCGCUCCUAUCUGAUGUAUCUG
ensembl:snoRNA